rnacentral:rRNA from 1 species
UACAGGGGGGGCAAGCGUUGUUCGGAAUUAUUGGGCGUAAAGCGCUCGCAGGCGGUUUCUCAAGUCUGAUGUGAAAGCCCACGGCUCAACCGUGGAGGGUCAUUGGAAACUGGGGAACUUGAGUGCAGAAGAGGAGAGUGGAAUUCCACGUGUAGCGGUGAAAUGCGUAGAGAUGUGGAGGAACACCAGUGGCGAAGGCGACUCUCUGGUCUGUAACUGACGCUGAGGAGCGAAAGCGUGGGGAGCAAACAGG